rnacentral:rRNA from 1 species
UACGAAGGGGGCUAGCGUUGUUCGGAAUUACUGGGCGUAAAGCGUGCGCAGGCGGCCAUCCAAGUCAGUGGUGAAAGCCCGGAGCUCAACUCCGGAAUUGCCAUUGAAACUGUUUGGCUCGAGUACGAGAGAGGUGAGUGGAAUUCCCAGUGUAGAGGUGAAAUUCGUAGAUAUUCGGAAGAACACCAGUGGCGAAGGCGACUCACUGGACACGUAUUGACGCUGAGGUGCGAAAGCGUGGGGAGCAAACAGG